UUCGAGAGGAAAGGGCAUUGCGAGCUAGUCUUCGGCCGGCUAGAGGUGAGUAAUGGAUGUAAAUGCUACUAUGAGGGUUUGAAACCCUGGACUUUAACAUCGCAACGCUAUAUUGAGGUGUGACACGAAUUCCACGAUGAGUGCGGGGUCGUUUACUAUUGGAGAUCGAGACUUGGUCCAUCCCGAGUGUUAAUUUCUACGAUGUUGGCGAUUGAGACACAUACUUUAUCAUUGUAAAUUGGUCUUAUUACCGC
rnacentral:lncRNA from 1 species